UACGAAGGGGGUUAGCGUUGCUCGGAUUGACUGGGCGUAAAGGGCGCGUAGGCGGUUCGUACAGUCAGACGUGAAAUUCCUGGGCUCAACUUGGGGGCUGCGUUUGAUACGUGCGGGCUUGAGUUCGGAAGAGGGUCGUGGAAUUCCCAGUGUAGAGGUGAAAUUCGUAGAUAUUGGGAAGAACACUGGUGGCGAAGGCGGCGAUCUGGUCCGAUACUGACGCUGAGGCGCGAAAGCGUGGGGAGCAAACAGG
rnacentral:rRNA from 1 species